CACCUAUUGGGCAACACCCACUGCCCAGGCUCAACAAUGCUUCAUGCUCAAGGAUGGGCAGAGCAGGGACUCUAAGGGUCUCAGGUUCUGACUGCUCUGAGGCCUCUGUUUCCUAAGAGGGACUGUAUCUAGCAGCUGACCUCCUCAGAGAUCAUGGACCUGAGCCAUCAUGGACAGGACAGGAAGGGUCACCCUUGGAGAGCUCAGGUGUUGAGUGCCACUUCACCAGAACACAGCCUUGUUCUCUUGUUACUUCUUGUCUGCAGACCCACAUUUUUAGAUCAGAAUACUGAAUUUCACACAACUUCUGGGCCCCAUUCUCCCACGGAGAGGAGGGCAGCCUCUCCUACGUAGGAGUGAAAAAUCCUAUGACAAAUCAGAAGGACUUUUGAGGCUUAAGAGACAACUUCAAAUCCAAUUCUCUGUCCACUUCCCGGGAUAGAUCCCCACAUUGAAGAACAUACGAAUGGAGGCUCAACUAGUAAGAGGAUGAUUGACCCCAAACUCUGCGCUCCCAGACAUUAUUCUAUACUGCCGUUCAUGUGACCUGCUCCUCCAUCCUUGCUGAGCCAGCCUGAGCUAAUGGCCACCUCCAGUAGAGUGGUGCAGAUAAUUCAGGGUCCUUGCUCAAAUGCACCAUAACCUAGGACUCUCUCUGAUCCUGUCAUACGCAGCAGGAGACAAAGAAAGCUGCUUGUCAUGAAUGUUCAACAUUUUGUUGUAUUCAGGAUUAUCUUCCCCUUGAAUGGAAUCAAAUUUUCAUAGUUGCCAGCAA